GACGAACGCUGGCGGCGUGCUUAACACAUGCAAGUCGAACGGAAAGGCCCUGCUUUUGUGGGGUGCUCGAGUGGCGACCGGGUGAGUAACACGUGAGUAACCUGCCCUUGACUUUGGGAUAACUUCAGGCAACUGGGGCUAAUACCGGAUAGGAGCUCCUGCUGCAUGGUGGGUGUUGGAAAGUUUCGGCGGUUGGGGAUGGACUCGCGGCUUAUCAGCUUGUUGGUGGGGUAGUGGCUUACCAAGGCUUUGACGGGUAGCCGGCCUGAGAGGGUGACCGGCCACAUUGGGACGGAGAUACGGCCCAGACUCCUACGGGAGGCAGAAGUGGGGAAUAGUGCACAAUGGGCGGAAGCCUGAUGCAGCAACGCCGCGUGCGGGAUGACGGCCUUCGGGUUGUAAACCGCUUUCGCCUGUGACGAAGCGUGAGUGACGGUAAUGGGUAAAGAAGCACCGGCUAACUACGUG
rnacentral:rRNA from 1 species